rnacentral:rRNA from 1 species
GAUCCUGGCUCAGAUUGAACGCUGGCGGCAUGCCUUACACAUGCAAGUCGAACGGUAACGCGGGGCAACCUGGCGACGAGUGGCGAACGGGUGAGUAAUAUAUCGGAACGUGCCCAAUAGUGGGGGAUAGCCCGGCGAAAGCCGGAUUAAUACCGCAUGAGACCUGAGGGUGAAAGGCGGGGGAUUCUUCGGAACCUCGCGCGAUUGGAGCGGCCGAUGUCGGAUUAGCUAGUAGGUGAGGUAAAGGCUCACCUAGGCGACGAUCCGUAGCGGGUCUGAGAGGAUGAUCCGCCACACUGGGACUGAGACACGGCCCAGACUCCUACGGGAGGCAGCAGGUGGGGAAUUUUGGACAAUGGGGGCAACCCUGAUCCAGCCAUGCCGCGUGAGUGAAGAAGGCCUUCGGGUUGUAAAGCUCUUUCAGCCGGGAAGAAAUCGGCGCCUCUAACAUAGGCGUCGGAUGACGGUACCGGACCAAGAAGCACCGGCUAACUACGUG